GUUACAAGAAAAGUUUGAAUGUUUUCAGUCUUUGUUUUGUCGUUGUUUAUGACAUUGGUUUGAAAUAAGAUGCAUUGAUUAUAAACAGCCGCACAUGUAGAUGUGUAAGUGAGAGGAUUGAAGGAAGAGAUGUUCGAUUCCCUAAAUCGAUACCUAUAAAGGCUAUCCAUCACACAGAUUGUUUUGGAGUUGAUCAUACUGAUGUUACUCAACAUUAAAGAACCCCCGUUAAAACCUGAACUGUCGUCAACGUUUGGAAAAACACGUAGAGUUACAAAUGGCACCCAAAGGGUUCGUUGACAAGUCGAGUCUGCAGAGAGUCGGUGUAAAGGAGCGGAUCGUGUUCGUGAAACAGCUGUUGACAUUGUUAUAGUGCUAGCAAACAUUAGACCAGGAUUCAACCACUUCAGACGUUUCAUUCAGGGUCGCAGUUUUAAUUUUUUCUGAUUUGGACACAUCAGAAAUACAUACUUUUAAGUGCUUUUAAAUUAGUUUUAAACCAUUCUAGUGGAAGAAUAAUCAAUUGUGUAUUGAUCUUGAAAGUUCAUAGGUACGUUGAUCAUGACUGGCAGAUGACCCCUAUUGAUUUUCAGGUCACUAGGUCAAAGGCCAAGGUCACAGUGACUCGAAAUAGUAAAAUGGUUUCCGUGUGAUAACUCAAGAGUGCUUACGCCUAGGAUCAUGAAACUUCAUAGGUACAUUGAUCAUGACUGCCAAAUGACCUUUAUUGAUUUUCAGGUCACAAGGUCAAAGGUCAAGGUCACAGUUACUAAAACUUAUUCACACAAUGGCUGCCACUACAACUGACAGCCCAUAUGUGGGCAUGCAUGUUUUACAAACAGCCCUUGUUUUGAUGUUUGAAUUUAAGCAUUUGCUGGAACACUUAUUUCUAUUGAUGAGGCUGUGUUAUACCAUUUUUGCCUUAAAUUUGGAAUUAAAAAUGUGUUUAACUUAAAAAAUCUGUUUACAAUUUUGAA